CCUACGGGUGGCAGCAGUGAGGAAUAUUGGUCAAUGGCCGAAAGGCUGAACCAGCCAAGCCGCGUGAAGGACGAAGGUGCCAAGCAUUGUAAACUUCUUUUGUCAAGGGACAAAAUCAGGCUCGAGAGCCUGACCGAGGGUACUUGAAGAAAAAGCAUCGGCUAAAUCCGUGCCAGCAGCCGCGGUAAUACGGAGGAUGCGAGCGUUAUCCGGAUUUAUGGGGUUUAAAGGGUGCGUAGGCGGGCUGUUAAGUCAGCGGUAAAAGCCCGGGGCUCAACCCCGGCGAGCCGUUGAAACUGGCUGUCUUGAGAUGUCGAGAGGUAUGCGGAAUGCGCAGUGUAGCGGUGAAAUGCUUAGAUAUUGCGCAGAACUCCGAUUGCGAAGGCAGCAUACCGGCGGCGAUCUGACGCUGAGGCACGAAAGCGUGGGUAUCGAACAGGAUUAGAUACCCCUGUAGUC
rnacentral:rRNA from 1 species